AGAGAAGGGGCGGCCCCGCACCAGCGCGCCUUUAAAGGGACCGCAGACCACUGGGCGGAGCGGGGACGGGGCGGGGGCGGGGCGAUUCCAAGUGGCAGGAAGGAAGACCAGAGGGAACCCCCGACGGACAGAGGGGUAGGGUAGGUGCGGGGCGACGUCUGCGCGACUGUGGAUCUGGGGGCAUCUUCACUGGGAGCAGCUGCAGGAUUCCGCAGAGGAGCGCCUCGGUACAGUAGAGUUCAGAGGGCGCAUUUCUGCUGGGGGCCCUCGGCCUUCAACCCUGCGUCCUACCCCGGGGAUCACUUCCCCCAACACCAGGUCCGCGCCACCCCCCGCAUCCCCACGCUCCAGGAGAGGGAGCAGGUCGGAGGAAAAGGCUUGGGAACUGGCUGGAUGGGGUCGGAGAAGGGCCCCUCCGUCUAGGCGUCCGCCCGCCACCCUCCCGCUGAUCGCGCAGACUGCCAGCCGUGCUCCUCCGCCCUUCCAUUCUCCGCUGGGCGCCACCCUCCGCCCCCUCUAGAGCCGAGCUCCACGCGGAUCCGGAAUGCCCCACGCGCACUCCCGCAGCUGCGCCUGGUCCCAUGGCUGGACCGCAGGAAGUCGCCAGCGCAGAGCUGUCCACGUGCGACUUCCGCUCUGAUUGGAUUUCCCCUCCCUUCGCAGCCCUGUCGGGUGCAGUUUGAAGAAUCAGCAAAAUCUUUCUUCAGUUUCCUCUCCCUAUGGAAACCCCACUCUAUGCCAAAGGUCUAGUCCAAAUAUCAGGCCCUCCAGAGCAUUCCCAGAAUCAUCCAGACCUCGCUCAUGGCUCCUUCCCUGGGAUCCCACAAGAAGUCACUUGUGCCUCUGACAUUCGAUCAUCCUCACAGAUGGAAUCAGCAGCUCUGCAGAACCUCAGAUUCGGGGAGGCAUCGACGUCAGCAGCUCUGCCCAGUGUAGAAUGAACUGGAGUCACUGGGCGCGGCGGCUCACACCUGUAAUCCUAGCACUUUGGGA